rnacentral:rRNA from 1 species
UACGUAGGGAGCGAGCGUUGUCCGGAAUCAUUGGGCGUAAAGAGCAUGUAGGUGGAUCAAUUAGUCUGCUGUGAAAGUCAAAGGCUCAACCUUUGAAAGCCGGUGGAUACUGUUGAUCUAGAGUACGGAAGAGGCGAGUGGAAUUCCUGGUGUAGCGGUGGAAUGCGCAGAUAUCAGGAGGAACACCAAUAGCGAAGGCAGCUCGCUGGGACGUUACUGACGCUGAGGCGCGAAAGCGUGGGGAGCAAACAGG